AAUAGGGUGUCUGAUUAAGGUAAUAAAUUGUAAAUUUAUUUAAGGAAAUUUUCCUCCUAUUA
rnacentral:tRNA from 1 species